AAUGAACGCUGGCGGCAUGCCUAACACAUGCAAGUCGAACGAAGGCUUCGGCCUUAGUGGCGCACGGGUGCGUAACGCGUGGGAAUCUGCCCUUGGGUUCGGAAUAACAGUUAGAAAUGACUGCUAAUACCGGAUGAUGUCGUAAGACCAAAGAUUUAUCGCCCAAGGAUGAGCCCGCGUAGGAUUAGCAAGUUGGUGGGGUAAAGGCCUACCAAGGCGACGAUCCUUAGCUGGUCUGAGAGGAUGAUCAGCCACACUGGGACUGAGACACGGCCCAGACUCCUACGGGAGGCAGCAGUGGGGAAUAUUGGACAAUGGGCGAAAGCCUGAUCCAGCAAUGCCGCGUGAGUGAUGAAGGCCUUAGGGUUGUAAAGCUCUUUUACCCGGGAUGAUAAUGACAGUACCGGGAGAAUAAGCUCCGGCUAACUUCGUG
rnacentral:rRNA from 1 species